CAAUAGCGUAUAUUAAAGCUGUUGCGGUUAAAAAGCUCGUAGUUGGAUUUCUGUCAAGUACAACUGGUCCGCCCUCCGGGUGAGCACAUAGUUUGGUCUUGGCAUCUUGCUGGAAAUUGUUGCUGCACUUGGCUGUGUGGCACAGUGUCCAGCACUUUCACUUUGAGGAAAUUGGAGUGUUUCAAGCAGGCAAUGCCUUUGAACACAGUAGCAUGGAAUAAUUAGAUUGGGCUUUUGCUCCAAUUUGUCGGUUUCUGGAGCUGAGGUGAGAAUUAAUGGGGAUUGUUGGGGGCAUCCGAAUUUAGCCGUCAGAGGUGAAAUUCUUGGAUCGGCUAAAGACGGACAACUGCGAAGGCGUUUGCCCAGGAUGUUUUCAUUGA
rnacentral:rRNA from 1 species